rnacentral:lncRNA from 10 species
CUUGGUUGCUAUUCCAAAUAAAAAGAUGAUCCCAAUAAGAGUCCAAUGAUUUCAAGAAUAUACUUGGACUUCUGCCUGCCAGUUAAGGUUCACUUAAAAGGAAUUGUCUGGAAUUUUUGUGGAAUCAUGAGAAAAUUUGAACACAAAUAUCUCCCGUGGACUAACUGAGCAAGAACUCAUUUAUCACCAAGGGGAUGGUGCCAAGCCAUUCAUGAGGGAUCUGCGCCUGUGAUCCGAACACCUUCCACUAGGCUCCACUUCCAACACUGGGAAUCACAUUUCAACAUGAGAGUUGGAGUUGACAAAUGUCCAAACCAUGUCUCCAUCCAACCAUCUAUACAGAUCUUGGAUUCAAGAAGCCUUAUGCCUCUUGGCUAAAAAGAGUUUGAAAAUCCUGACUCGGCCCAUUGUGUUACUUUAAAGAUCUGCGU